AGAGUUUGAUCCUGGCUCAGAUUGAACGCUGGCGGCAUGCUUUACACAUGCAAGUCGAACGGCAGCACGGGGGCAACCCUGGUGGCGAGUGGCGAACGGGUGAGUAAUGCAUCGGAACGUAUCUUUAAGUGGGGGAUAAGGCAGCGAAAGCUGUGCUAAUACCGCAUAAUCUCUGAGGAGAAAAGCAGGGGAUCGCAAGACCUUGCGCUUUUGGAGCGGCCGAUGUCUGAUUAGCUAGUUGGUGAGGUAAAGGCUCACCAAGGCUCCGAUCAGUAGCUGGUCUGAGAGGACGACCAGCCACACUGGGACUGAGACACGGCCCAGACUCCUACGGGAGGCAGCAGUGGGGAAUUUUGGACAAUGGGGGCAACCCUGAUCCAGCCAUGCCGCGUGAGUGAAGAAGGCCUUCGGGUUGUAAAGCUCUUUCAGCCGGAAAGAAAUCGUGCAGAUUAAUACUCUGUAUGGAUGACGGUACCGGAAGAAGAAGCACCGGCUAANUACGUGNCAGCAGCCGCGGUAAUAC
rnacentral:rRNA from 1 species